CCUUUCCUUCGGGACAGAGGAGACAGGUGGUGCAUGGUUGUCGUCAGCUCGUGUCGUGAGAUGUUGGGUUAAGUCCCGCAACGAGCGCAACCCUUAUCCUUAGUAGCCAGCGGUUCGGCCGGGCACUCUAGGGAGACUGCCAGGGAUAACCUGGAGGAAGGCGGGGAUGACGUCAAAUCAUCAUGCCCCUUAUGAUCUGGGCUACACACGUGCUACAAUGGUGACUACAAAGGGAAGCAGCCUCGUGAGAGUGAGCAAAUCCCAAAAAGGUCAUCUCAGUUCGGAUUGUAGUCUGCAACUCGACUACAUGAAGCUGGAAUCGCUAGUAAUCGCGAAUCAGAAUGUCGCGGUGAAUACGUUCCCGGGUCU
rnacentral:rRNA from 1 species